AAUAAAGCACCUAAAGUAGGCAAACAGAAAUCCCAUGCAGGAGGUGCCUGCUAGAAAUCCCUUUCUUCAUGUCCUGGCAAUGAUAUUUCGGCAAGUAGUUUUUCAAUUUAUUUUAAUAGAUAUUAAAUAUCCUGAACAUUAUUUUGCUUCUGUUUCUCUGCAUAGUGUCCCUUUUUAUGUUUUCAGCUGAUGCUUUUGUCUGUGGAAUAAAGCACCUAAAGUAGGCAAACAGAAAUCCCAUGCAGGAGGUGCCUGCUAGAAAUCCCUUUCUUCAAGUCCCUGGCAAUGAUAUUUCGGCAAGUAGUUUUUCAAUUUAUUUUAAUAGAUAUUAAAUAUCCAGAACAUUGUUUUGUUUCUGUUUCUCUGCAUAGUGUCCCUUUUUAUGUUUUCAGCUGAUGCAUUUGUCUUUUGAAUAAAGCACCUAAAAGUAGACAGAAAUCCCAUGCUUGAGGUGCCUGCUAGAAAUCCCUUGCUUUAAAUCCAUGGCAAUGAUAUUACAGCAAGUAGUUUUUAAAUUUAUUUUAAUAGAUAUUAAAUAUCUUCAACAUUAUUUUGCUUCUGUUUCUCCGCAGUGUCCCUUUUUAUGUUUUCAGCUGAUGCAUUUGUCUGUGGAAUAAAAAAUCUAAAAUAGACAUAUAGAAAUACCUUGCUGAAGGUGCCUGCUAGAAAACCCUUGCUUCAAUUUCCUUGCAAUGAUAUUUUGGCAAGUAGUUUUUCAAAUUUAAUUUAAUAGAUAUUAAAUAUCCUGAACAUUAUUUUGCUUCUGUUUCUCUGCAUAGUGUCCCUUUUUUAUGUUUUCAGCUGAUGCUUUUGUCUGUGGAAUAAAGCACCUAAAGUAGGCAAACAGAAAUCCCAUGCAGGAGGUGCCUGCUAGAAAUCCCUUUCUUCAAGUCCCUGGCAA